rnacentral:rRNA from 1 species
UACGUAGGCGGCGAGCGUUGUCCGGAUUUACUGGGCGUAAAGAGCGCGCAGGCGGUCGUGCAAGUCGCGUGUGAAAGCCCCCGGCUCAACUGGGGAGGGUCAUUCGAUACUGAUCGACUCGAAGGCAGGAGAGGGUAGUGGAAUUCCCGGUGUAGUGGUGAAAUGCGUAGAUAUCGGGAGGAACACCAGUGGCGAAGGCGACUACCUGGCCUGUUCUUGACGCUGAGGCGCGAAAGCUAGGGGAGCAAACGGG